rnacentral:lncRNA from 1 species
AACCAAUCUACAUAGUUUGGAUCGAUCAACAUAUUUUUAUGGGAUGUAUGCUUUAGAAGCCAAUCUUGGCUGAUACAUAUUAUAUUUCUAGGAUAUAAUUUUAUACUUAUUGGGCAGUUAUAUUACCAUUCAUGUUUAUAUGUCCAUGAAUCAUCCAAGGGAUUAACAAGAUGAUGAUACAUAUUCUUAAAGAGUUGAAAAUAUGAGACAUGUGUCAUUAAUGGUUAAUUUCUAAAUUGCUUCUGGUCAUAGGAUCAUCAUAGGGAUGAUGAUUGAUCCGGAUAGAUCAGUACAC